UACGUAGGGGGCAAGCGUUGUCCGGAAUUAUUGGGCGUAAAGCGCGCGUAGGCGGCCCGGUAAGUCCGCUGUAAAAGUCAAAGGCUCAACCUUUGAAUGUCAGUGGAUACUGCCGGGCUAGAGUCCGGAAGAGGCGAGUGGAACUCCUGGUGUAGCGGUGGAAUGCGCAGAUAUCAGGAGGAACACCGGUGGCGAAGGCAGCUAACUACGCGAUAAUUGACGCUGAUGCACGAAAAGCGUGGGGAUCAAACAGG
rnacentral:rRNA from 1 species